UCUCUAUUCAUUUGGGAGCAUCCUCCUUGAACCUUGACAUAUAAUGGUCAUGGCUACACUUAUAAUAUUGAUACCUAAGCAAGCAUCUUAGGUAAGCAGCUGUUAAGCAUAGAAGCCAUCAGGGAAUGAAAGUAGGGUGUCUCUUCUCAGGUGGGUUGCCAGGGGGUUGGUGUCUGGAGCUAGAGUGAAUAUUUGAGGAACUGUCUGUAAGAAAAGAAGCCUCAAGAAGAGGACAGCAUCAUAGAAUCACAGAAUCACUAAGGUUGGAAAAGACCUCGAGGAUCAUCUGGUCCAACCAUUCCCCUCCCA
rnacentral:lncRNA from 1 species